rnacentral:rRNA from 1 species
CAGUAGCCGCGGGAAUACAGAGGGUGCAAGCGUUAAUCGGAAUUACUGGGCGUAAAGCGCGCGUAGGUGGUUUGUUAAGUUGGAUGUGAAAGCCCCGGGCUCAACCUGGGAACUGCAUCCAAAACUGGCAAGCUAGAGUACGGUAGAGGGUGGUGGAAUUUCCUGUGUAGCGGUGAAAUGCGUAGAUAUAGGAAGGAACACCAGUGGCGAAGGCGACCACCUGGACUGAUACUGACACUGAGGUGCGAAAGCGUGGGGAGCAAACAGGAUUAGAUACCCGGUAGUCCCUGUCUCUUAUACA